CCCAGUCGGGGAGGCGAUGGCGGCGGCCGCUGUGGUGGCAGCGACAGUCCCCGCACCGACAACGGGCGCGGACGGCGCAUCUUCCGUGCAUUGGUUCCGCAAAGGGCUGCGGCUCCACGACAACCCCGCGCUGCUAGCGGCCGUGCGCGGGGCGCGCUGUGUACGCUGCGUCUACAUCCUCGACCCGUGGUUUGCGGCCUCCUCGUCUGUGGGCAUCAACCGGUGGAGGUUCCUACUGCAGUCUCUGGAAGAUCUGGACACAAGCUUAAGAAAGCUGAACUCCCGUCUGUUUGUAGUCCGGGGCCAGCCAGCUGAUGUGUUCCCGAGGCUUUUCAAGGAAUGGGGGGUGACCCGCUUGACCUUUGAAUAUGACUCUGAACCCUUUGGGAAAGAACGGGAUGCGGCUAUUAUGAAGAUGGCCAAGGAGGCUGGUGUGGAGGUGGUGACUGAGAACUCUCACACCCUCUAUGACUUGGACAGAAUCAUCGACCUGAAUGGGCAGAAACCACCCCUUACCUACAAGCGCUUUCAGGCCAUCAUCAGCCGCAUGGAGCUGCCCAAGAAGCCCGUCGGCACUGUGAGUAGCCAGCAGAUGGAGAGCUGUAGAGCCGAGAUCCGGGAGAACCACGAUGACACCUAUGGUGUGCCUUCCCUGGAGGAGCUGGGGUUCCCCACGGAAGGACUUGGCCCAGCUGUCUGGCAAGGAGGAGAGACAGAAGCUCUGGCCCGCCUGGAUAAGCAUUUGGAACGGAAGGCCUGGGUUGCCAACUAUGAGAGACCUCGGAUGAAUGCCAAUUCCUUGCUGGCCAGCCCCACAGGCCUCAGCCCCUACCUGCGCUUCGGAUGCCUCUCCUGCCGCCUCUUUUACUACCGCCUGUGGGACUUGUAUAAGAAGGUGAAGAAGAACAGCACACCCCCCCUCUCCUUGUUUGGACAACUCCUGUGGCGAGAGUUCUUCUACACGGCGGCCACCAAUAACCCCAGGUUUGACCGAAUGGAGGGGAACCCCAUCUGCAUCCAGAUCCCCUGGGACCGCAACCCUGAAGCCCUGGCCAAGUGGGCCGAGGGCAAGACAGGCUUCCCUUGGAUUGACGCCAUCAUGACCCAACUGAGGCAGGAGGGCUGGAUCCACCACCUGGCCCGGCACGCCGUGGCCUGCUUCCUUACCCGCGGGGACCUCUGGGUCAGCUGGGAGAGCGGGGUCCGGGUAUUUGAUGAACUGCUCCUGGAUGCAGAUUUCAGCGUGAAUGCGGGCAGCUGGAUGUGGCUGUCCUGCAGUGCUUUCUUCCAGCAGUUCUUCCAUUGCUACUGCCCUGUGGGCUUCGGCCGACGCACAGACCCCAGUGGGGACUACAUUCGGCGAUACCUGCCCAAAUUGAAAGGGUUCCCCUCUCGCUACAUCUACGAGCCCUGGAAUGCCCCCGAGUCGGUUCAGAAGGCCGCCAAGUGCAUCAUUGGCGUAGACUACCCGCGACCCAUCGUCAACCAUGCUGAGACCAGUCGGCUCAACAUCGAGCGCAUGAAGCAGAUCUACCAGCAGCUGUCACGAUACCGGGGACUCUGUCUUCUAGCAUCUGUCCCUUCCUGUGUGGAAGACCUCAGUCACCCAGUGGCAGAUCCCAGCUCUAGCCAGGCUGGGAGCAUCAGCAACACAGGCCCCAGACCCAUAGCCAGUGGCCCAGCCUCCCCCAAACGCAAGCUGGAAGCAGCUGAGGAGCCUCCCGGUGAAGAACUGAGCAAGCGGGCUAGGGUGACAGAGAUGCCUGCCCAAGAGCCACCAAGCAAGGAUGCCUGAGGGGAACCUGAGAAGAACCGGAUUCAGGGGUGUUUUGAACACCAGAAACAUCAGCGUUUGCCCGAUCUUAUACAAAUGACUUACUCUCUCGGACGGUGGUUGCUGUUCCCAAGAAAGCAUGCAGGUGUCGGUCAGUCACGGACGUGUGGAAGUGCGGGUGCAGCCAGAGAGUCAUCACUCCGUGACAAAGCCCGGGUGCCUGAACUGCCACGGCCUACAGAGAACCCAGUCACCAACAGACAGCGGACGAGUG